UACGGAGGGUGCGAGCGUUAUCCGGAUUUAUUGGGUUUAAAGGGUCCGCAGGCGGGCCUGUAAGUCAGCGGUGAAAUCCGACAGCUUAACUGUCGAACUGCCGUUGAUACUGCGGGUCUUGAGUAAGGUUGAAGUGGCUGGAAUGAGUAGUGUAGCGGUGAAAUGCAUAGAUAUUACUCAGAACACCGAUUGCGAAGGCAGGUCACUAAGUCUUAACUGACGCUGAGGGACGAAAGCGUGGGGAGCGAACAGG
rnacentral:rRNA from 1 species